AGUGGCGCACGGGUGCGUAACGCGUGGGGAUCUACCAUGGGGUGCGGAAUAACUCAGAGAAAUUUGAGCUAAUACCGCAUAAUGUCUUCGGACCAAAGAUUUAUCGCCCUUUGAUGAACCCGCGUAGGAUUAGCUUGUUGGUGAGGUAAGAGCUCACCAAGGCGACGAUCUUUAGCUGGUCUGAGAGGAUGAUCAGCCACACUGGGACUGAGACACGGCCCAGACUCCUACGGGAGGCAGCAGUGGGGAAUAUUGGACAAUGGGCGAAAGCCUGAUCCAGCAAUGCCGCGUGAGUGAUGAAGGCCUUAGGGUUGUAAAGCUCUUUUACCAGGGAUGAUAAUGACAGUACCUGGAGAAUAAGCUCCGGCUAACUCCGUGCCAGCAGCCGCGGUAAUACGGAGGGAGCUAGCGUUGUUCGGAAUUACUGGGCGUAAAGCGCGCGUAGGCGGUUACUCAAGUCAGAGGUGAAAGCCCGGAGCUCAACUCCGGAACUGCCUUUGAAACUAGGUGACUAGAAUCUUGGAGAGGCGAGUGGAAUUCCGAGUGUAGAGGUGAAAUUCGUAGAUAUUCGGAAGAACACCAGUGGCGAAGCGACUCGCUGGACAAGUAUUGACGCUGAGUGCGAAAGCGUGGGGAGCAACAGGAUUAGAUACCCUGGUAGUCCACGCCGA
rnacentral:rRNA from 1 species